UACGUAGGGACCAAGCAUUGUUCGGAUUUACUGGGCGUAAAGGGCGCGUAGGCGGCAUGACAAGUCACUUGUGAAAUCUCUGGGCUUAACCCAGAACGGCCAAGUGAUACUGUCGCGCUAGAGUGCGGAAGGGGCAAUCGGAAUUCUCGGUGUAGCGGUGAAAUGCGUAGAUAUCGAGAGGAACACCUGAGGUGAAGACGGGUUGCUGGGCCGACACUGACGCUGAGUGCGCGAAAGCCAGGGGAGCAAACGGG
rnacentral:rRNA from 1 species